rnacentral:rRNA from 1 species
UACGUAGGGGGCAAGCGUUGUCCGGAUUUAUUGGGCGUAAAGAGCGUGUAGGCGGCCUUACAGGUCAGCUGUGAAAACUCGGAGGCUCAACCUCGAGACGUCGGUUGAAACCGUAUGGCUAGAGUCCGGAAGAGGCGAGUGGAAUUCCUGGUGUAGCGGUGAAAUGCGCAGAUAUCAGGAAGAACACCUAUGGCGAAGGCGGUUCUCUGGGCCUUACCUGACACUGAGGAGCGAAAGCGUGGGGGAGCGAACAGG